GACGAACGCUGGCGGCGUGCCUAAUACAUGCAAGUCGAACGCUUCUUUCCUCCCGAGUGCUUGCACUCAAUUGGAAAGAGGAGGGGCGGACGGGUGAGUAACACGUGGGUAACCUACCCAUCAGAGGGGGAUAACACUUGGAAACAGGUGCUAAUACCGCAUAACAGUUUAUGCCGCAGGGCAUAAGAGUGAAAGGCGCUUUCGGGGGUCGCUGAUGGAUGGACCCGCGGUGCAUUAGCUAGUUGGUGAGGUAACGGCUCACCAAGGCCACGAUGCAUAGCCGACCUGAGAGGGUGAUCGGCCACACUGGGACUGAGACACGGCCCAGACUCCUACGGGAGGCAGCAGUAGGGAAUCUUCGGCAAUGGACGAAAGUCUGACCGAGCAACGCCGCGUGAGUGAAGAAGGUUUUCGGAUCGUAAAACUCUGUUGUUAGGGAAGAACAAGGGCGUUAGUAACUGAACGUCCCCUGACGGUAUCUAACCAGAAAGCCACGGCUAACUACGUG
rnacentral:rRNA from 1 species